UGUCUAGCUGCCUGUUCUUAGGCGUACGUCUCAUCCCAUGCAACAGCAAAAAGUAUAACAAACACUUCUUUAACGCUGGUGGUGGUUACCUUGUUGCAGCCAAAUGGUGAAAGGUGUGACAAAGACAGAUUGCACCGUUGUAUGCUGAAUGCGAUUGCAGUGUAAUCCAGAAGUUGCUGUGCUGUUGUAGCUGAGCUGUUCCAUCUGGGUUCCUGACUUCAAAAAUUUUGU